GUAAAGCACUUUCAGUGGGGAGGAGGGUGAUUUGGUUAAGAGCUGAGUUACUGGACGUUACCCACAGAAGAAGCACCGGCUAACUCCGUGCCAGCAGCCGCGGUAAUACGGAGGGUGCGAGCGUUAAUCGGAAUUACUGGGCGUAAAGCGUGCGUAGGUGGUUAAAUAAGUUAUCUGUGAAAUUCCCGGGCUCAACCUGGGACGGUCAGGUAAGACUGUUUGACUCGAGUAUGGGAGAGGGUAGUGGAAUUUCCGGUGUAGCGGUGAAAUGCGUAGAGAUCGGAAGGAACACCGGUGGCGAAGGCGGCUACCUGGCCUAAUACUGACACUGAGGCACGAAAGCGUGGGGAGCAAACAGGAUUAGAUACCCUGGUAGUCCACGCUGUAAACGAUGUCAACUAGCUGUUGGUUAUAUAAAUAUAAUUAGUGGCGCAGCAAACGCGAUAAGUUGACC
rnacentral:rRNA from 1 species